CGCCUCUUGAUAAACUAUAAGAGGUCCAGCCUGCCCAAUGAUUAAUUAAAUGGCCGCGGUACCCUAACCGUGCAAAGGUAGCAUAAUAACUUGUUCUUUAAUUGAGGACUUGCAUGAAUGGCACCACGAGGGUUGAACUGUCUCCUCUCUUUAAUCAAUGAAACUGACCUCCCCGUGAAAAGGCGGGGAUUUUUAUACAAGACGAGAAGACCCCAUGGAGCUUUAGACCUAAAGCAUAUUCAAACUUCUACUUCACCAAAACCCAGAAUUCUAUGACUCCAAGUCUUAGGUUGGGGCGACCAUGGAGUAUAACCUAACCUCCAUUUUGAACGGACAAAAUCCUAAUCCUAGAACCACAAUUCUAAGAAUCAAAAAAUUGACACCCACUGACCCAAAAACUUGACCAUCGAACCAAGUUACCCUGGGGAUAACAGCGCCAUCUACCUCAAGAGCCCAUAUCGACAGGUGGGUUUACGACCUCGAUGUUGGAUCAGGGUAUCCAUGUGGUGCAGCCGCUACAUAAGGUUCGUUUGUUCAACGAUUUAAACCCU
rnacentral:rRNA from 1 species